rnacentral:rRNA from 1 species
GACGAACGCUGGCGGCGUGCCUAAUACAUGCAAGUUGAGCGCUGAAGGUUGGUACUUGUACCAACUGGAUGAGCAGCGAACGGGUGAGUAACGCGUGGGGAAUCUGCCUUUGAGCGGGGGACAACAUUUGGAAACGAAUGCUAAUACCGCAUAAAAACUUUAAACACAAGUUUUAAGUUUGAAAGAUGCAAUUGCAUCACUCAAAGAUGAUCCCGCGUUGUAUUAGCUGGUUGGUGAGGUAAAGGCUCACCAAGGCGAUGAUACAUAGCCGACCUGAGAGGGUGAUCGGCCACAUUGGGACUGAGACACGGCCCAAACUCCUACGGGAGGCAGCAGUAGGGAAUCUUCGGCAAUGGACGAAAGUCUGACCGAGCAACGCCGCGUGAGUGAAGAAGGUUUUCGGAUCGUAAAACUCUGUUGGUAGAGAAGAACGUUGGUGAGAGUGGAAAGCUCAUCAAGUGACGGUAACUACCCAGAAAGGGACGGCUAACUACGU